UACGUAGGGUGCGAGCGUUAAUCGGAAUUACUGGGCGUAAAGCGUGCGCAGGCGGUUUUGUAAGACAGCUGUGAAAUCCCCGGGCUUAACCUGGGAACUGCGGUUGUGACUGCAAGACUGGAGUGUGGCAGAGGGGGGUGGAAUUCCGCGUGUAGCAGUGAAAUGCGUAGAUAUGCGGAGGAACACCGAUGGCGAAGGCAGCCCCCUGGGUUAACACUGACGCUCAUGCACGAAAGCGUGGGGAGCAAACAGGAUUAGAACCA
rnacentral:rRNA from 1 species